GUGGGGAAUAUUGGACAAUGGGCGGAAGCCUGAUCCAGCCAUGCCGCGUGUGUGAAGAAGGCCUUUUGGUUGUAAAGCACUUUAAGCGAGGAGGAGGCUCUUAAGGUUAAUACCCUUGAUGAGUGGACGUUACUCGCAGAAUAAGCACCGGCUAACUCUGUGCCAGCAGCCGCGGUAAUACAGAGGGUGCGAGCGUUAAUCGGAUUUACUGGGCGUAAAGCGUGCGUAGGCGGCUGAUUAAGUCGGAUGUGAAAUCCCUGAGCUUAACUUAGGAAUUGCAUUCGAUACUGGUCAGCUAGAGUAUGGGAGAGGAUGGUAGAAUUCCAGGUGUAGCGGUGAAAUGCGUAGAGAUCUGGAGGAAUACUGAUGGCGAAGGCAGCCAUCUGGCCUAAUACUGACACUGAGGUGCGAAAGCAUGGGGAGCAAACAGGAUUAGAAACCCCAGUAGUCC
rnacentral:rRNA from 1 species